UUUUAGAUUCCUUAUUGACCACAUUGCGAGACAAACGAAUAUCACUAGCGAUAUUAUUUUCGAGAAACAAUUAUGUUUGUAAUAAAUAAAAAAGUUUAAGGGCUGGUCAGGCCCAACCUACAACGAAAACAAGAUUUCUUUCUUCAGGCCUACCCUAAAUACAACAUUAAAGGGCAAACCUUCAAUAGAAAACCCCGCUAUCGCUAUCAUUCAAAUAUUUCGGUUUGCUCAUAUUGAAAGCAACACGGUGUUCAAAGGGUUCAUAUAUUUUACAUAUAUUGCCUGACAUUAGCAUUGUUAUCAAACGCAAGAUAAUCUGCCAUCGGAUAUAUUAAUAUAUUUUCUUUUUGUCAUCGUUAAAAUCACACAAAGGUCGAUCUCGGUGAGGAUACUCUGGUAACUGGUGUUAUCACACAGGGACGGUCCAUACUUAUCCAAAGGAUUACGUCAUUCCAAAUCUCCUACUCAAGUGACAAUACAAAUUGGACCUUUGCUCUGGAAGAGCAGUGUGGAGUACGCAAAACAUAUGCAGGAAACUUUGAUGCUGACACAUAUGUUACCAUAUUAUUUCCUGAGCCAGUAACCGCACGUUUAGCUUCCUGAGUGAGCUGCCAAAGGGAUUACUCAACAAAGUACCAAGUACCAAGUCUGGGGUAAGCGAAUUAAGACGCACUGCACACUGAUACUAUAUUGUGUAUUUCUUUUAAUUAUCUAUGAUAAAUUGUCUUAUUUGGAAUGAGUAAUUGCUUGCAUGUAGAGUAGGGGAACUCUCCAAGCAGAAUUAUGGGAUCCCUGAUGCCACGAAGGAGAGCUGGUUCAUGCAGAGAAACCUAGAGGUACAUCAUCUAAAGGGACAAAGGUCAGAUAUUAACAGAUGUCAAAGUCACCACCAAAGAUGUUGAAAUGCUACAGGUACUGUGGAAAACAACAUGAAAAGAUGCUCAGAAAAUGCUCUGCAAUUUGGUGAAGCGUGUGCUAAAUGUGGGGAAAAGAACUACUUCUACAUCGAGACUGUGCAAAACUAACUUCCCAGAGAAAGUUCAUUAAGUUGAUGUCAAAAGGAUGGAAUAAACGGAGUUAAACUUAUUUGAGCUUGUGACAUGGAUAUGAACUCCCCUCAAUGAGAAUGAACCCCUGAAAGCCAAUGUAUGAUAUGUAAUGUACAAAAGCACGUUGCACUUAUAUUCGAUUCUUAAGCACAUGGAACGUGCUACCACGACAGUCAACCGGUACGUCACCCUCAAGCCCAGGAAUGAAAUAUUCAACCGUGCUACUAUGAAAAGGAAAGUCCACACUGAUAUUAACUUGGUUUUAAUACAAGCAAAUAAUUUAGGAGAGCAGGUCAGUUUGAGGAAAUUCCGAUUAAAAAUAACAAACUUCUGAAUUGGUUUAGUUGCAAUCAAUCAAACACAAACUCUGUGAUCGAAGUAUUUUGCGAGCUCCCCUCCCGUUUGCUCUGUACUAAAAAAAUAUAUACAUUUUUUAUUUUUCAACGACAAAAUGUCCGAUGAAAAUAUGCACCCAAUAUAGAGAUUACUGCAAAUAUGUUUCUAUUCAAUUCCUGUAUGGGAGAAAUCUAUUCCGUCGUCAGGAACGAAAAAAAAUUAAAGUUCAUGGAAAUGAAUGUCCGGAGACAAUUUGUGUUUGAUUGAUCGCAACUUCCCAAAUACAUAGCUCUGACUUUCACAACUUUUCCUAUCAUUGUUGUGCUUUAAAUCCAGUAAAACCAUCUUAUUAUCAGCUGAGGGUGGAUCUUCCUGUUAACACAGAAUGUAAAUGUUCGAUGGAAGUGGUAAGAUCUGAAAGUCAGCGAGGAAUACAUUUGCAGUAAUAGAAAAAGCCUUUUUUUUUCCUGAAUCAUUCUGCAAAAAUAUUGAUGUAUGAUUGACACAUCUGACCCCCCCCCCCCCUCCCACUCGGUGUUAUGUAGGGUAUUCGUAUGCACGUUCCCUGUUUUUUGAAAGCACCCUUGUGGUGUUUCGCGAGACGUCUACAGCUCUAGAGUGUCUUGAAUUUUUAGAAUGCAAUGUAAAUUUGUGUUUCAUGUAUAUACUACUACUACUACUACUACUACUACAACUGUUGCUGCUACACUGUACUAUUUCUACUACUAUACUGUACUACAACUACUACUACCACUAUUUAUAAUAAUGUAUUUAUAUAGCGCAUUUUGUAUAAACUGGUACAUGUUCGAAUGCGAUUUACAAUUACUCAAUAUGAAGGAUACGUUACAGUCAUUCUCUGCUAAAUGUUUGAGAUAAUAUUUUGUAUUAUAAUCUGACCAACAGUAGUUUGUUUGCCAAUUACGUCAGAAGGGUCAUUUCAGGUCACAUUAGUGACGAACGCAGUUGAAUGUUUCGGAGGAAAAGAUUUUAUAUUGAAAUCAAAAGUUUUAUUUUAGGUACGUAUUGACAAAACAAGUGGAAUUUCAUGACUUUUUUAGAGUUCUUUUAUCACAUUCAAAUGGAAAAUUUACCUGUCACGGUUUCCAUGUCUAGAGUUGAGACAUCUUCCUCAGACGCGAAUCGGCAGACUGAGAUAAACCGCCAAUUUCCGAUCGCCAGUAGUUGUCGUGUUGGCGAUUACUGCGUCGUAUAGGCCUAUGUCAGACAGCUGGUAUGCAUCCCCGUCAGUCAUGGUUCAUGUUCUCAGUCAAGCGUUUGAUCCAGAUAGCUUCCUGGAUCCUACUGGCCCUAUCUUGGUUUUCUCUCGCUACGAGGCGCGUGCCAUCCCAGACUAUAACGUGAUUUUCUCAGGCCGCGUGAUCUGUUACAGGUAAAUUUUCCUUUAUGUAAUAAAAGAACUCUGAAACCAUUAUCACAACCAUCCUGAUGAAACUCUUAUAUUAUGGACUUUCAUGAUUGUUUUUGUAGAUUGAUUAAAUCUUUAUUCAUUUGAAAUCUUCUGUAAAUAUAACGCGUUUGAUUUGUAGAGGUGUCGAGGUCGGGUGGCUUUAAAUCACCUUACUGGAAAUACAAAGGUCGUUGGUUCGAACUCCGGCACGGCAGUUAUGUCCUUGAGCAAGACAUUGUAUAUACAUUGCUCCUCUCCAUCCAUGUUUUAAAUAAGUGACCGAUAGGAUACAAAGAUAAAAUGGCGACCAGCUUGAUUGCUCCACAGGGAGUAGAGAUUGUGCAAAUUAAUGUGCGGAAUAGUAAUUGAAUCCAAUGACCGGGGCAGUAUUAAUAUUGUAAGCGAUUUGAAACAUUAUAACUGGUAAAGCGCUUUAGAAAAAAACAGUUAUUACUAUUAUGGUUAUUUUUGAUUGACAUGUCAUAUAAAAAUGCCAUUAUUUGUCCAAUUAUAAAGCAACGGAGAUUAUUAUUAUAGAUGAGUAUUUCUUUUCAAUUUGUCUAAAUGAUUAUGCCACUGCUUAAGUCUAUUGCAUUGUUUACUAGCCCCUUAUACCGACAGUACUGCACUUGACCAAUAACCACCACCAUUCAUUUCAAAGUGCAUUGGUUAGAGUAAGCACUUUCUGCUCAGCGCAUGUUUAAAUACAGAUGCUAUGUUUUAAAACAACUGACAAUGUUAUGUUGACAUUACAGGAAUUUCACCUAUACAUGAAUGUAUAAGUUAAUAUGGUAGGUUUGAUGGGAACUACAGAAUUGAAAAUGAUUGUAUGAGUAAAGGACAAUUAAUUCAACUUGGUUAUUAGACAUGUUUUGUUUUUUUAAAGUGGAAGAUGUAAGAGGUGUAGCGCCACCUCGUGCCGGAGACAGGAAGGGAUAUAUAUGAUGUGUUCAAAUUUAAUUGUUAUUUUUAUCUUUUUUAAUAGAUGUGGAUUAAACUAAAUUGAAUUGAAUCAAAUCAUCUUUAAUGUAUUACCUGUAUAACAUAAAGGCUUGCUCAGACAGAUAAUGUAUGAUGUGUUCAAAUUUAAUCGCUAUUUCUAUCUGAUUCAAUAGAUGUGGAUUAAACUAAAUUGAAUAGAAUUGAAUCAUCUUUAUUGUACCUGUAUAAAUAUAAUGGCUUGCUCAGACACAGAUAAUGUAUGAUGUGUUCAAAUUCACUGAAUUGCUAUUUUUAUCUUUUUUACUAGAUGUGGAUUACACUAAAUUGAAUUGAAUUGAAUCUUCUUUAUUGUAUUACCUGUAUAACAUAAUAGCAUGUUCAGACACAGAUAAUGUAAGAUCUGUUAACAUUUAAUUGCUAUUUUUAUCUUUUUUCAAUAGAUGUGGAUUAAACUAAAUUGAAUUGAAUUGAAACUUCUUUAUUGUAUUACCUCAACAUAACGGCUUGUUCAGACACAGAUACUGUAUGAUGUGUUCACAUUUAAUUGCUAUUUUUAUCUUUUUUCAAUAGAUUUGGAUUAAACUAAAUUGAAUUGAAUUAAAUCAUUUUUAUUGUAUUACCUGAAUAACACAAUGGCUUGCUCAGACACAUACAAUGUAUGAUGUGCUCAAAUUUAAUUGUUAUUUUUAUCUUAUUUAUUAGAUGUGGAUUAAACUAAAUUGAAUUAAAUUAAAUCAUCUUCAUUGUAUUACCUGUAUAACAUAAAGGCUUGUUCAGACACAGAUAAUGUAUGAUGUGUUAACAUUUAAUUGCUAUUUUUUAUCUUUACUGAUAGAUGUGAAAUUAAACUAAAUUGAAUUGAAUUAAAUCAUCUUAAUUGCAUUACCUGUUAAACAUAAUGGCUUGUUCAGACACAAACAAUGUAUGAUGUGCUCAAAUGUAAUUGCUAUUUUAAUCUUUUUUAUUAGAUGUGAAAUUAAACUAAAUUGAAUUGAAUUAAAUCAUCUUAAUUGCAUUACCUGUAUAACGUAAUGGCAUGUUUAGACACAGAUAAUGUAAGAUCUGUUAACAUUUAAUUGCUAUUUUUAUCUUUACUGAUAGAUAUGAAAUUAAACUAAAUUGAAUUGAAUUAAAUCAUCUUAAUUGCAUUACCUGUAUAACGUAAUGGCAUGUUUAGACACAGAUAAUGUAAGAUAUGUUAACAUUUAAUUGCUAUUUUUAUCUUUACUGAUAGAUAUGAAAUUAAACUAAAUUGAAUUGAAUUAAAUCAUCUUAAUUGCAUUACCUGUAUAACGUAAUGGCAUGUUUAGACACAGAUAAUGUAAGAUCUGUUAACAUUUAAUUGCUAUUUUUAUCUUUACUGAUAGAUGUGAAAUUAAACUAAAUUGAAUUGAAUUAAAUCAUCUUAAUUGCAUUACCUGUAUAACAUAAUGGCAUGUUUAGACACAGAUAAUGUAUGAUCUGUUAACAUUUAAUUGUUAUUUUUAUCUUUUCUAAUAGAUGUGAAUUAAACUAAAUUGAAUUGAAUUAAAUCAUCUUUAUUGUAUUACCUGUAUAACAUAAUAGCAUGUUCAGACACAGAUAAUGUAAGAUCUGUUAACAUUUAAUUGUUAUUUUCAUCUUUUCUAAUAGAUGUGAAUUAAACUAAAUUGAAUUGCA